UGGCUUUUUUAUUAACUAUUAGCAGAAUUAUACAUGCAAGCAUCACCAUACCUGUGAGAAUGCCCUACAAAUCAUAAAGAUUUAAAAGGAGCUGGUAUCAAGCACACUCAUAGUAGCUCAUAACACCUUGCUUAGCCACGCCCCCACGGGAUACAGCAGUAAUCAAAAUUAAGCAAUAAACGAAAGUUUGACUAAGUUAUGCAAUAAUAAGGGUUGGUAAAUCUCGUGCCAGCCACCGCGGUCAUACGAGUAACCCUAGUUAAUAAAAUCCGGCGUAAAGCGUGUUAAAAAUAUAGUCAAAAUAAGAUUAAGACUUAUCUAAGUUGUAAAAAACAAUAGAUAAAAAUAAACUCAAUAACGAAAGUAAUCUUAAUAACUCUGUAUACACUAAAGCCAAGGCUCAAACUGGGAUUAGAUACCCCACUAUGCUUAGCCAUAAACAAAGAUAUUUCACAACAAAAAUUUUCGCCUGAGAACUACUAGCAAUAGCUUAAAACUCAAAGGACUUG
rnacentral:rRNA from 1 species